AGCAUCCGUAGCCGGUUGCAUAAGUUUUCGGUUAAAUCUAUGCGCUCAACGUAUAGGCCGCCGAAAAUACUGUGCAGCUAGGGAGUGGGAGAGGUACACGGUACUCAGUAGGAAGGGGUAAAAUCCUUUGACCUAUUGAUGACCACCUGUGGCGAAGGCGGUGUACCAGAACACGUUCGACGGUGAGGGAUGAAAGCUGGGGGAGCAAACCGGAUUAGAUACCCGGGUAGUCCCAGCUGUAAACGAUGCAGACUCGGUGAUGCAUUGGCUUGUGGCCAAUGCAGUGCCGCAGGGAGGCCGUUAAGUCUGCCGCCUGGGAAGUACGUACGCAAGUAUGAAACUUAAAGGAAUUGGCGGGGGAGCACAAGCCGAA
rnacentral:rRNA from 2 species